rnacentral:misc_RNA from 1 species
CGGAAGGCUGGUCAGCUGCACCUUGUGAAGCCGUAUAUGGUUUCUGUACAAAGUAAUAAUGUAAAUGCUGUGAAUGAAGCUCUUAAUGAGAUAUACGUCGAGGAGGAGGAUUAUGAUAGGUUAAGAGAAUCAAUUGAGAUGCACGAUCAAUUUGAUCAGAUUGGACUCGCACAGAAGAUUGAGAAGCACGAGUUACUUGAAAUGAGACGUGUUGCAGCCUACAUAUACAAAAAAGCCGGAAGAUGGAAGCAAUCCAUUGCCUUGUCAAAGAAAGACAAUCUCUACAAGGAUGCAAUGGAGACAGCAUCACAAUCUGGUGACCGUGAACUUGCCGAGGAGUUGCUUGUUUACUUCAUCGAACAGGGAAAGAAGGAAUGCUUUGCUUCGUGCCUCUUUGUUUGCUAUGACUUAAUUCGGGCAGAUGUUGCUCUUGAA